GCUCUAUCAAGCACCAAGAUCUCAGCCAAGAGUGAAGCUGCCUCCUCCGGCCUCCUUUCUCCUUAUGCUUCCCAGCCUCGCUGAUGCAAUGUCCCCAGAAUACUGGAUUUAUAGCAUCCCAUAUACCGUAACUGCAACGCUAGGUUGGGUUAAAGUGUUUUAUUUUAAAUAAACGGUUUGUGCUGGUUUUAGUUGUUCCCUGGGCACCACAUCUGCAAGCAAACUGGGGUUGAAAUACCAUUUAUAAGACUUUGGCACAGACCCACCCAAACCCAAAGUGAGGUGUGGCCCAAUAUUUUAAUUGUUCCUAUGUCUGUGUCCUUUAAGAUGAAAAGGACCCAAGAAAUCAGUUCACAUGAUGACAUGUAUAUUCAUUCAUAUGAAUAUAUUGUUGCUGCCACGGGUAUUAUGUGUAUGUGUGUUUUAAUGAGCUGAAUAGAGUGAAAGAUUAUAAAUUGGUUGGGUGUGGUGAGUAUGAACUUAACAGUGCUUAAUUUAUUUUUUGACUGCUAUUUUGUUAAUGUUGUUUUACAGAUUAGAAAUGAUGUAUUGAUUUAUUAGUCAUAUAAUACAUAAAUAGAAAAGGGUAAAGGAGCCCUGGACGGUUAAGUCCGGCCAAAGGUGACUAUGGGGUUGCAGCGCUCAUCUUGCUUUCAGGCCGAGCGAGUUGGUGUUUGUCCACAAACAGCUUUCCAGGUCAUUUGGUCAUCAUGACUAAACCGCUUUCUGGCACAACGGGACACCAUGACAGAACCCAAAGCACACAGAAAUGUCGUUUACCUUCCUGCCACAGUGGUACCUAUUUAUCUACUUAGAAUCAUAGAAUCAUAGAGUUGGAAGAGACCACAAGGGCCAUCGAGUCCAACCCCCUGCCAAGCAGGAAACACCAUCAGAGCACUCCUGACAUACUUGCACUGGAAUGCUUUCGAACUGUUAAAUUGGCAGGAGCUGAGACAGAGUAACGGGAGCUCAUCCUAUUGUGGGGAUUCGAACCACCGACCUUCCGAUUGGCAAGCCCAAGAGGCUCGGUGGUUUAGACCACAGCGCCACCCGCAUCCCCUAAUACAUAAUACAUAAAUACAUAACUAAGAAAAGGUACAGCAAUACAAUUAUUCCUUUCUUCUCUCUUUUAACAAUGUGUGUUUGCUUUACAAAACAACAAUUUAAACUGACUCCGACUCUGCAAGUUAGAGUUCUGCUAUACCACAGAUAACAAAAUUCAUCCAGUGGGCGAGACGAGGACUAGGAUUGCUGCCUAACUGUGGAUCCUUUGGCUUGCUAGAUCCAGCUGCCUCCUCUUCAUUCAGAAAGUAAUUCCAGGUAAUUUUAUCAUCUACUUUAAUUUCCUUCUUACCAACGGUUGAUUAAAUUACAAAUGCGUCAAGUCACAAGGCCUCUGUUUUCUUGCGACAAGACACAUUUCCCUGGCAGCUGAUCACUUCCAGGGACACAAGCCUUGUUUCUGUACAGUCAAACCUCGGAUCCUGUUUUGGCUCCCAAAAGCAGAAAACAUGGAAGUAAAUGUUCUGGUUUUCAAAGGUUUUUCGGAAGCUGAACGUCCGACACCGCUUCCGCUGAGUGCAGGAAGCCAUGCCUCGGUUAUUGAACAUUUCAGAAACUGAACGGGCUUCCAUAACGGAUUACAUUUGACAACCGAGGUUUGACUGUAUAGCAAAUGCAUUAUUUGAGGUGCAAGAGUGGAUUGUACCUUCAGUUUGAAUUUGUGGGUGGGGAGCAGGCCUCAACUCCCUGAAGCUUGGGAAAUGUUAGAUUAGGACAACUGUGGAGGGAAGAUGAUGAGCGUUCAGCUUUAAAACACUUCUUUCUAAGUGAUCUAUGGAGUACAAUAAUUUAGAAAAUUAAAGUGCUGUUGGCAUCUUGAAUCUAUGAUUCAGCACAGGACACUAGUAUUUUACUUAAUUGGAGAGGAUCAAGACAGAAUUUAUUAUUACUGAGUCAGAGGCUAUUAUGCGCUACAAUAACCGUAAAGCAGAAUAAACCUAAUUCCUAAACCCCAGCAGGAGCAAGGGAUUUGCUCCAGCCGUGCACCUGCGUUGGCAUGAGCUCCCUGCCACUCUUGCCCGUCCUGGGAAAUGGCAGUGACACCGCUCCUGGCAGGAGCCCGGGCGCCCCCUGAGCCACUCGUGCCGCGAGAGCCAGGCUGACAACAAUAGUUUUAGAAAAAGGACAAGGGCAACUGCGGCCAGCAGGAGCAGGACAUUGGCUGCUCAAGGCAAGAGCAGCUGACGGGGUGCCACUAGGAAGCCAGGCGCCCAGAAGUGGCAUCACUUCUGCUUACCAGGGCAGGGCAGGAGUUGGGCGGGCGUAGAGGCAGGAGACCAGAUUGCCCACACUAGUGUGCCUUUGCUGCCAGGCCUCACUGCCACUCUGCUUUGCUCCAUCCUAUUGCAAUGCCCCACGGAUAUCAGGAACUGGACUGAAGAGGAAUGGUGGGGGCUGCCCCACUUCUCCUGAACCAAAAACAGGAGGACAGUAUAGAUUACUGCAGAUGGUGACAGCAGCCACGAAAUUAAAAGACGCCUGCUUCUUGGGAGAAAAGCAAUGACAAACCUAGAUAGCAUCCUAAAAAACAGAGACAUCACCUUGCCAACAAAGGUCCGUCUAGUUAAAACUAUGGUUUUCCCAGUAGUGAUGUAUGGAAGUGAGAGCUGGACCAUAAAGAAGGCUGAUCGCCGAAGAAUGGAUGCUUUUGAAUUCUGGUGCUGGAGGAGACUCUUGAGAGUCCCAUGGACUGCAAGAAGACCAAACCUCUCCAUUCUCAAGGAAAUCAGCCCUGAGUGCUCACUGGAAGGACAGAUCCUGAAGCUGAGGCUCCAAGACUUUGGCCACCUCGUGAGAAGAGAAGACUCCCUGGAAAAGACCCUGAUGUUGGGAAAGAUGGAGGGCACAAGGAGAAGGGGACGACAGAGGACGAGAUGGUGGGACAGUGUUCUUGAAGCUAGCAGCAUGAGGAAGGCAGUGGAAGACAGGAGUGCCUGGCGUGCUCUGGUCCAGGGGGUCACGAAGAGUCGGACACGACUAAACAACUCAACAACAACAAAUAGAUUUAGAACAGUGGUUUGCAGAAGGGCAUAGUUGAGAGGCUGCAGAGGGCAGAAGCUGGGAAAUACUGAAAGAGGAACAGCAGGAAGGAGAAGCACCAGGGGAGAGGCAGCUGACAGAUUCAGGGUCCUUGGAAAGCAUUCCUGACCCCCCCCCCAACCAGACGGGCAUUGAGGGUAUUAGAACAGAGAGCUCAGAGGCAGAAAGCUCAGAUUAACCGAUGCAGGAGGGAUAAGGGGGCCGUAGGGGGUGGGACUUUCCUUGGAGCAACACCAUGAUUAGGAAGGCUGCAUUCCUUCAUUGUUCUCUGUAAAUCAUUGAAUAAAUUGCUUGGUAAGAAGUUUUAUCGUUUCUCUGAUUCUGGGCUGCCACCGUGGGAGGGAUCUGAUUCCCCAGCCUGACAAAGGGCCGCUCUUUUUCAUUAAGAGUCCUGCUGGCUACAGUUAUUUCAGAAAAAGAAGUAAGCAGGACCAGAAUCAAACACAGAAGUGUGGCCGAGCCCUUGGUCUUAAGGAGUCCCAGGAUGGUGGUGCUGCAGCUGUCUCAGGUGAAAGCAAGAGUUGCCACCUGGCUAAACAAACAAACAAACAAACAAACAAACAAACAAACAAAACACAAACCAGUCUUUCCUCCUUCUGGACCUUUAAGAGUGUGGGGUUGUUUUUUUAAGUGUUUGGUUAAAGAAUAAAAUAAUAAUUUCCAGGAUGCCUAGACCUAGGUUUGGGACAAGGACUCUUUGGUGAGAGAGACCCAGCAGAGAUUUAAAAUCACAAAACAGGUAGCGUGGAAUAACAAAACACAAGUGUGAAAUAUAGUCUGUUAGACCCUUAAAAUAUCCCCUUUUAAGUUCCUUUCCAAUGUUUCCCUUUAUUUCCCUUAGCAUUGAAAGAGCACAUUUGGCAAGUUAAAGACUUAAUUUACUUACAAAGGUCAGAUUCAUGUGUUUUUCCAUGCAGCAGCAAGAAAACACAGGUAGCAAAACUUAGCUUACAAAAAUUGGUAAAAUGUUCAUAAAUUAUUGGUCUAGAAACACAAAAAUGACUUGUAAGCCAUGCACACAGUCUGAGCCUGGAGCAAUCAGGUUCGGAACUUUUCCACACAUGGAGUUCACAUGGUAGACAGAAUGAUUUUAAUUUUUUUGUAUAGAAACACAAAAAUGGCUUUGCUAAAGCCAUGCGGCCAUCUAGGCUGAUUGCUCCUUGAUUACCUAGUGGAAAAGAGAAUGAACAAAGAGCUUUGCUAACUCUUGUCCCAAGGUGAGGGGGCGUGACCUGGAUCAGUCUGGGAUGACUGCUUACUCUGUGGUCUUAACCCCUUCAUGCAUUAACUGGAGUUAAGCAUAUGAGGCUCAAUUAUCCCACAAACAGUUUUGCCAAAAUCAUUAAGUUAAGGGAAUUUCCCGGCACAGAGUCCAGCAUUAUCAUUGUGAGCGAAACUGCUGUCAAUGGGGAAGCUAUGUGAGUCGAUUCAGAAGUUGGCAACCUAACCUUAGAAAUAACCUCACAGGACAGAGAAUCCAGUAGGAGAACUCUUCAAUCUCCCAGGACAUUCAAUACAGGAUCUCAAAGCAGCUGUCUUAUUACAAAAGAAUUUCAGAAAUAGACUUGAAAGAGAACUUGCUGAAUUACAACUUCUUACUAAACUGAAAACUAUGGCGAGACCUGGUCUGAAUAGAGAUAUUGGAUUCUUGUCUCAUUACCUAUGGUAAAACUAUUUCUGGUCAUCUGCACACUAUCCCUUGCUUUCUCCUGUAGGACUAAUUGCAGUCGUUAACAGUCGUCAAUAGGUUUACCAUUGCCAUUGAGUCAAUCCCCCAUCUCCUACUACCCUUCUGAGAAAAACCCCUCCCCACCCUCCCGCUAUAUAUAAGGGUCUGACGACUUCUGUUUCAGCGUAUCUGAAGAAGUGUGCAUGCACACGAAAGCUUAGACCCAGAACAAACUUAGUUGGUCUCUAAGGUGCUACUGGACAAUUUUUUAAUUUCGACUUAGAAAUAGUGGAAUGUUAUUUCCUGGUACUUAAUACCUGUCUGUUUGUAUUUACCCACUUCCACUACUGCAUAUUUCUUUCUUUUGCUUUCCCGGGUGGUUUCACAUUGCUUUGAAACAGUAUGACAAAAUAGUUCCCCUUUAAUGGAAUCAGAGGCUCUUUUCUUCCGGUGAUCUCAUUAAAACCACAAAACAAGCCAGCAGAGGGUGUGAGAGCCAUAAUUAACAGCUGGAAUGUCAAUGGCAAUCCAGUUACACAUAAUCACUUUUUUGUUUUCUGUGUCUUCCAUAAGCAAAUUACCCUUUGAAAAAGACAAACAUUUUUAUUGCCUUUGAACCUAAUUCAUAUAGAUUAUUCAUUGGAUCUCAUUUCAGCUUCAGUACUUCUGCUGCCUGACUUUGGUGCAACAUAGAUUUUUAAAUAUAGAAGAUCUUCAAACGAAUGGUGAAGCAACAGGAAGGAAACAAAAGUAAUAUUUCUGGACUGUUUCAUUAUUUCUCUAGUUUAUUGGGAGCUUCAAACUCUGAUGGCCAAUGUGACCUAGCAGAACAGACAAUAGAGAUUGCGGCAGUAGAUGUGUACCAGAGUCCCACACACCAAUUACUCAUCUGAUUAAACACAUUUCCUUUAUUGUCUUCCAUGAAGCCUCCUGGUCUUUAUUUCCUUUUU